AGCACGAAAACCAACGGUUGUUUAAUGAAUUUCCGGUCCGCCAUUUUUCACUCCUGUUACACAACCUCAGUCAUCACCUGCCGCAGGCAGGACAUCACUUCUAACAGAGACUUUUCACGGAGGCCGCAGCAGUUAAUCAAGCAGGAUGGGAUUUACAGCUGUUGUAUUUGGAGUAACUCCAGUUGACCCUGUCUAAACUCACCAUGGAAAGAGAGUCCUGCCCCGACUGUGGAGAUUUAUUGCAAAGCCACCACUGCUCACAGAGGUAAGCUCAAGCCAGUGCACAUCAUUGGUACUGCUCAACUGCCCUCACAAGCUCUGGCUCCCUGACAUUCCUCCUUUUGUGGGUGGAAAGGCAGAUCUAUGUCAUCUGCUCAGGCCAAGCACCGUGGGUCCAAGUCUGGCCAUAUCCCUCAGGCCAAACUUGAGUGGGAGAGCCUGCUGUCCCUCAUCUGUCUUCUCUUGGCCACUUUAUUAUAGACUUUGAAUAAUGUUUCAUCAGGCCUCUUGCCUAUCAAUUUGACAUUGGAGACACAUCCAGUACUGAC
rnacentral:lncRNA from 1 species